rnacentral:rRNA from 1 species
UACGGAGGUCCCGAGCGUUAGGCGGAAUCACUGGGCUUAAAGCGUGUGUAGGCGGAUCGUUAAGUACCUUGUGCAAUCCCACGGCUUAACCGUGGAACGGCUUGGUAUACUGGCGGUCUUGAGCCACUUAGGGGCUACCGGAACAAAUGGUGGAGCGGUGAAAUGCGUAGAUAUCAUGUGGAACGCCAAUGGUGAAAACAGGUAGCUGGGAGUGUGCUGACGCUGAGACACGAAAGCCAGGGGAGCAAACGGG